rfam:Anaerofustis stercorihominis DSM 17244 Scfld_02_3 genomic scaffold, whole genome shotgun sequence.
UGUUAAGAUAGAGGCGCGGAUUUUAUCAGUAAAUUAUUUGAUGCAGGUAAAUGCAGGUAAGAAUGGUCGAAAGGAAAAUCUGCCGAGGAAGUUUAUAUUUUACCGUUUAGAUUUCCGGGCUUAAUGUUAAGAGCAUUGAGACUGUCAUCGCUUAGAUGGAGUGCUAUUCACAAA